UGUAUUUGUCAUGACAGGAAGCCAUGAACUGCAGCCUUAUGUGACCUCUCUAGGUGCCUAAGUUUGACAGGGAGUGUGGGGAGGGUUUCAACAGGGCAGCCUGGAUAACCCAAGCGAGGCAGAGACAAAGGAGCAUCUGCCCCAGAUGAAAAUCUCGGAAGCUGUGGGGAGGGAUGGCUGCCCGGAAGCCCGCCUCCCACCCCUUGCUUAGCACAGCUAGCUUCCCCUGCCCUGCAGGAAGCUGGACAGGAUGGGGGAAAGCCUGAGUUAGCCAAGCUAGUCCUGGAGUACAGGGUGCCUAUGGGAGCCUACAGGACGAUGACAUCAGAACAGUGACAUCACAGUAAAAACCUCCAAAAACGGUGAGGAGGAGCAAAAGCCCUGCUUUCUCACCCCAGGAAACCAGCACCCUGAGAAGGGAGAUGCUUAGUCCUGACCUGCCUGACUCUGCCUGGAACACCAGGCUCCUCUGCCAUGUCAUGCUUUGUCUCCUGGGAGCAGGUUCAGUGGCUGCUGGAGUCAUCCAGUCCCCAAGGCAUCUGAUCAAAGUAAAGAGGGAAACAGCCACUCUGCAAUGCUAUCCUAUCCCUGAACACGACACUGUCUACUGGUACCAGCAGGGUCCAGCUCUGGAGGCUGGGAAGUCCAGGGUCGAGGACCCACAUCUGGUGAGGACCUUCUUGCUGGUGAGGACUCUGCAGUGUCCCCAGGUGGCACAGGGCAUCACAUAUGAGGGGGUCAUGAAAGAUGGCCAAACUGGCUUUUAUAACAGACCCACUCUCAUGAUAACCUACCCAUUCCCUCUAUAACCCAUUAAUCCAUGAAUGGAUUAACC